UUUUUUCCUAUCAGGCGCGUGAGGAUAUAUAAGUCUACCGAGAACAGUGCUGCGACGGUAGUAGAGGCAGAAGCUGCAGAGGUUGAAAUCAAUGAAGAGGUUGUGAGUACAUUGUAGGAAGCUUUUAUUCUCCAAUUAAGUCGAGAUUGAAAAGUCAAGCUGGGGAUUUGAUUUGACGAUUUUGUCGACAACUUGAUUGAGAUGGAAGUUCAGUUGCAAAGAAGAAAUAAUUUGUGUGGAGGAUCAGGAAGUUAACAACUUCAACACAGCCAAAAAUCUUCAAAUCUCGAGCAGCAAAAGUUUCUCGAAUUCACGCAAUGAAUAUGAGAAUGAAACUAGAGAAACCAAAUCCUCAACAGAAUCCGUCGCUUUAUUAGAAGCUGAAGAAGGUCAUGACUGAGAGCUCGAGUACAUAACCAAGUUCAUAGUCUCUGGCCAACUGAUGAUAAAAGAAUUCUCCUUGGGGAUGGCUACUGAUAUUACCUCUGAGCUUUUUCGAUGAAAUUGAAGGUAAGAGAGAUGCCCAGAGUAAGAUUGAGAGAAAAACACUGGUCGACUUUGUGCUUAUCAAAUGCGAGCAAAUGUUCAUGGGAAGCUAUAGAGGAUUGUUGGGGAGAGAAGUCAUUUUUCUUGAAAGAAGAGAGAAUUUGACAGAAGAAGUGAAUAAAGAGGUUCAGGGAUUGAAGAAACCAUGGUCCCAAGAGUUCGCUCAUUACACACUUGCAUCGAAUUGGAAUUAGAUUUGAGAAAAACUUUUCAAUCCCCAAAAAUUCUAUGUAUCAAAAAAACACACAUUUCAAUUUUCUAGCUGAGAUUGAACCUUAGGCUCGCCGAAGAAGAAGAAAACGAUCAACGUUGUGACGGUGGAUUGAAAUUCAUUGUUGUGGAGGUUCUCGGUUCUUUUUUUUUCAAUCUCUCGCUAUCUCUCUUUCUUAAUGAAGAGAAGAAGGAUGUUCUAGUGGAUUCAGAGGUUUGACUUUACUAAGCCAAACCGAUAUGGGCCAUUCAAAUCCAACAGAAACCUUGGGCCAUUCGAAACCCAUCACUUCUCAGUCAUUAACGCCUGCAACAAGCAUAAAAGCGACACACAAAGUGUGUGUUCUAAGUAGUAAAUGGUUUUGGUAGUCAGAAAUUUAAAC